CAUCCAUCUAUCACACGUGUAGACAAAGGGGGGACUCUACAACACAAAGCUGUAUGUGUCUUAACAAACUUUAUUUUGUUACCCCUGUCUGCGACGCACGGAGCAAAGCACCUUCAGAUGAGUGCAGGAACUCCAGAGUCGUCUAUGAAGAUUCUUAAGGAUUAGGAGACAGAACACUUUAGUUUUGAAGAAGACGAGGACGCAGGAUUUAAACGCCUGGAGCAGCUUUGCCUUGAAGGAUGCUUUCGUGGCUUAUUUGGAAAUGCAAAAACCUGGAUAUACUUUGUAGAUUGAAUGCUCACCAGGCAGGAUGGCACAGAAUGAUUAGGGAUCCCACAUAGAAAUGGAUCAUGUGCAGCUUUGGAGCUUUCGGUCCACAUAACAUUGUGUAGCCAUUACUGCUGUGAAAAUGGGACUGGUGGAAUGAUGAGGUCUAGGGGAUCAUGACCUUAAUUUUCUCCAAAACAGACACUUAAUUAAUUGUAGAGGAAUUCUGGCUGGCUCCAAACUGACAACUGGAAUGUUCAAGGGAAUCAAGGUGUCAGCAACCCUGGGCUCCGGAGCUGCAUGUGGCUCUUGCGUCUCUCUUGCAGUCUCUCUCUUGCAGUCCCUCUUUCCUGCCAUUGAAGACGGUGGAAUUAUGCAUCCUCGAUGAUGCUGCAGUGACAAAUUGGGCCCAGGAGAGGGACAAUAUAUCUGCUUUACAUAAUGCAUCUUUCCUUGCAAGAGUUUAAAGUGCCUGUGACAGGAUAAAAAAAAAUCUUAAAUAGCAUUACUAUGAGAAUUAAAAUCAUAUAUUGAGUAGGGCUGUCAAACGAUUAAUAUUUUUAAUCGAGUUAAUUACAGCUUAGAAAUUAAUUAAUCGUAAUUAAUCGCAAUUAAUCGCAAUUAAUCACAAUUCAAACCAUCUAUGCCAUAUUUUUCUGUAAAUUAUUGUUGGAAUGGAAAGAUAAGACACAAGAUGGAUAUAUACAUACAACAUACGGUACAUAAGGACUGUAUUUGUUUAUUAUAACAAUAGAUCAACAAGAUGGCAUUAACAUUAUUAACAUUCUGUUAAAGCGAUCCAUGGAUAGAAAGACUUGUAGUUCCUAAAAGAAAAAUGUUAGUACAAGUUAUAAAAAUUUUGUAUUAAAACCCCUCUUAAUGUUUUCGUUUUAAUAAAAUUUGUAAAAUUUUCAAUCAAAAAAUAAACUAGUAGCCCGCCAUUGUUGAUGUCAAUAAUUACUUACACAAUGCUCAUGGGUGCUGAAGCCUAUAAAAUCAGUUGCACCCAAGCGCCAGCAGAGGGCGGCAAAACUCCAUAAAACACAACAAGUGAGCGUUUCACUGUACUGUCAUUUAAAUCUGUCUGAGCGGGGCAUCUGCGUUAAUUGCGUCAAAUAUUUUAACAUGAUUAAUUAAAAAAUAAUAAUAAUAAUAACGCCCGUUAACGCGAUAAUUUUGACAGCCCUAAUUUUGAGAUGAUUUGGCUAUAUACUAGUACAACAAUUUGGCAAAGCGCAGAUGAUGAGAAAUUAGUCUUUUAAUCUGCCGUUUAGCCUCACCUGUCAUUGUAGCACUGUAGCGUUGGCAGGGUCACGAUUUCAGCUGAUUUAGAAUUCAGUCCAUUGAGGGGGAAGAUUCAGAAAGAGGAAAAUGCGACACAGAGCAGCAAAAUGUCCUGAUUGUUUCAAUCCUCUACUCCAAUAUUUCUACAGGUUAUAUAUGGUAUGGUCGUGACAAAUAACGGUCUUGUGCUAAAUGGAAUAUGAAAUAUUAAAAAUGCAUUUCUUCAGUACGACAGGGCAAAAUUACUGUAUAAUGGUCAAAACUGCUGAGUUCCCGAACGGUAUUUUAUGCCACCGGAGUUAGUCCGGCUUUUGUCAUUGCCCUGCCCCAGCUUCGGAGACAAAGGAAAGAGUGUAAACAAAACAGGAAGCAUGACAGCUAGCUGACAUUUUAACCCGACUGAGCGGCGUUUCCAAGUCUUUAUCUCGCCUUUUGAAAGCAAAAAAAUCACACAAAACUACCCCGACACACACGGCAGUGGGGUUGAUUGUCUUCACCGAUCGGCCAGCCCCCGGUGUUCUGCCAAAUUUUGCACCCGUAUGAUAUUUUGCUCCCAACGCUGUUGUGGCAGUGAAUAAGCCCUCUUUUACAUUCAGUUGGACUCUCAGUGUUAUCCCUAGGUGUUAAAUAAAGAGUAACAUCGCGAACAUACAUGUUCAACACGAAUAUGGCGUAAAUUUAUGCUGAACGACACGGCGAAGACAUAAACAGUGAGAGAGUGGCGUGCAGUUGUUGUGUGCAGCUAACAUGGCAGUAUGUGUCUGAGGAGAACUUUUCUAAUUUCCGUCCAUGAUCAAACGUAAGUAAAUAUUCCUUUAUUUAUAGAAAGUUUGUUGUGUUUACUUUGUAACCACUGUAUUCGCGGCCAUUUUUCUCACAACGUUUCUGAUGGGGUGCAAACAGAAUUUGACAUUACACCCACGUGGAACAAGUUAUGGCUCGUUGUUCUGCUGCGGCCCUAGCGGGCAGGCAGGGUAAUAAGAUAGGGGAAUGAACGAGGAAAAUAGUGCAUUCUCGGUAGACAAACCGGCCGACGUCGGAGCGAGGGGCUGAUCGGGGCAAAGCCGAGGAAAGCGCUAUGUGGGCGGGCAGGCGAAGAGGUCUUGGGUGGGGGGUGUGACAAGCCACCGGUCGUUGGCCGUGUGGCUUUCUUGUUGGACAGGGAGUUUCGUCACCAACAAAAUGCAAGCCACCUCCUUAUUAAAAUGUGUGCCAUGAUCCCAGUAUUUGACAUAAUACAAAACACGUAGUUUACUCAUUUCCUCGUUGGUCCAAAGGUCCCAGUUGUUGACUUGUUUUGGCCACUCUAUGCGCAGUGAACACGAACUUUUUGAAACCCAAAAAAGCUCACACGCCUCUCCGUGGUGCAGCAACAAAACACACUGGGCUGGCGUGAGGCAAAAAACAAACGAAUUAAUCCGCAACAUCGGCUGUAUCCGCAGCCCUUCUGCAUGCUAUGGCUAAUGGCUGUAUUGGGAGAUGGUGGCCUGGCUGACCUUACAUUCACAUUCUUCCUCAAUCCAGGAAGUCACUCAUUUUCAUGGCGCUUGAUUCCAAAAUUUUAAUAAAUAAAUUGAUCGCUUCCACACACAUCCAAGUGGUCUAUUUCAUUCAGGAGCAUAAAAUACCACAUGAAAUAUGAAAUAAACAUGCUUUUUGCUGUCAUAGGCACUUUAAGAAGCAAGAAGAAUCGGAGACUGAUCAUAGAUAAGGAGUGCAGUUACAUUCUGCAAUUUCAUUAUCCCUGCUGGAGUUAAUUGAUUUUAAUAAAGGCACUAUUUCCACAGUUCAACUUUAUUAGACUGGAUUUCAGCAUGAAGGUAAAAAAUAAAUAAAAAAACAAAACAAAAAAAACGUUAUAUGCAAUGUUAUGUGUAAUUUAUUUUCUGUGGGAAACGGGUCCACAUGCCUCUUUGAGCAGUCAAGGUGUCCGACCUCUGUUCUAAACUGUUGCAAUGAGUCAUUUUCUGUUUUGUUAAAAUAUUUCUUAAACAUAUUUGUCUCAUUUUCAGUACGUAAACAAAAUAAAAUUCAGUAGAAAAUUUAGUUAUGCACAGCACUGUUAUUAAACUGCCUAAAUGACAUGAAAAGGGUAACCAAAAUCCCUUGCAUGAUAAUUACAUCUCUAUUUUUAUUUCUUGACCCAUAAGUUUAAAUGUGAAUAUACUUAGCAAGUGUAGUUUUGCAUGUCCAAUACCAUGUAUUCUAAAGGUAGCCCUGCUUAUUGUGAAUGUGCAUUUGCAUUUGUUUAGA